rnacentral:rRNA from 1 species
UACGGAGGGUGCGAGCGUUGUCCGGAAUCACUGGGCGUAAAGGGCGCGUAGGCGGCUCGGUAAGGGGGCGGUGAAAGCCCGGGGCUCAACCCCGGGUCUGCCGGACCGACUGCCGAGCUUGAGCACACUAGGGGCAGGUGGAAUUCCGGGUGUAGCGGUGGAAUGCGUAGAGAUCCGGAAGAACACCAGUGGCGAAGGCGGCUCACUGGCCCGAUACUGACGCUGAGGCACGAAAGCGUGGGGAGCAAACAGG